CUAGAGAUAGAAAGUUACUUCGGUACAUCGGUGACAGGUGGUGCAUGGUUGUCGUCAGCUCGUGUCGUGAGAUGUUGGGUUAAGUCCCGCAACGAGCGCAACCCCUAUUGUUAGUUGCCAUCAUUCAGUUGGGCACUCUAGCGAGACUGCCGGUAAUAAACCGGAGGAAGGUGGGGAUGACGUCAAAUCAUCAUGCCCCUUAUGACCUGGGCUACACACGUGCUACAAUGGUUGGUACAACGAGUUGCGAGUCGGUGACGGCGAGCUAAUCUCUUAAAGCCAAUCUCAGUUCGGAUUGUAGGCUGCAACUCGCCUACAUGAAGUCGGAAUCGCUAGUAAUCGCGGAUCAGCACGCCCGCGGUCGAAUACGUUCCGGCCUU
rnacentral:rRNA from 1 species